UUCAUUGUUUCAUUUUCUUGGAAUUUUGAUACACAACUACCGGCCGAAAAGAUGCAUGUAUUACAAAUUUUGAUGCCUCUGUUUGUGUUAUGCUUUCUGGUGAUUAUUGUUCAGUGCAAAGAAUAUGAAAGAUUCAAGAGAAGCCCUCAAGACAGUGGACCAGAUUCAGAAUCAUCUAUGACAACCGAUGGAUCAGAUUCAGAAUCAUCUAUGACAACCAGUGAGCAACCCACUGACAGUCCAAUCCAAUUUUUGGUUGCGAUUGUAGAACAAGCAGUAAAAUUUUAUUUCAGAGCAAAUUUCGCAGUACCAUUAGAAGUGAUAAAACUGUUAGAAAUGGCAUACGAAAUGUAUAUAUAGUUUUUAUUUAAUGUUGGUGUUGUCAAAAAUGCAAAUAAAUGCGUUGUUCUAUUUUC